UGGGGAAUUUUGGACAAUGGGCGAAAGCCUGAUCCAGCAAUGCCGCGUGUGUGAAGAAGGCCUUCGGGUUGUAAGCACUUUUGUCCGGAAAGAAAUCCUUGGCUCUAAUACAGUCGGGGGAUGACGGUACCGGAAGAAUAAGCACCGGCUAACUACGUGCCAGCAGCCGCGGUAAUACGUAGGGUGCAAGCGUUAAUCGGAAUUACUGGGCGUAAAGCGUGCGCAGGCGGUUUGCUAAGACCGAUGUGAAAUCCCCGGGCUCAACCUGGGAACUGCAUUGGUGACUGGCAGGCUAGAGUAUGGCAGAGGGGGGUAGAAUUCCACGUGUAGCAGUGAAAUGCGUAGAGAUGUGGAGGAAUACCGAUGGCGAAGGCAGCCCCCUGGGCCAAGUACUGACGCUCAUGCACGAAAGCGUGGGGAGCAAACAGGAUUAGAUACCCUGGUAGUCCACGCCCUAAACGAUGUCAACUAGUUGUUGGGGAUUCAUUUCCUUAGUAACGUAGCUAACGCGUGAAGUUGACCGCCUGGGGAGUACGGUCG
rnacentral:rRNA from 1 species